UGAAAAUGUCGUUGCGCGGAGUUUGUUCGUCAGCCUCAACGGUUCCGGGGAGCCGGAUGGGAGGUUCUGGAAGCGCUGUCGUAACUCGCGAGACGCUCUUGCGAAAGAGUUUGACCUAUGGCUGGCGGUUUCUUGUCAGCGUGGGCUUCCGGAUCUUUCGGUUUGCCGUGGCGAGCGGGACGUCGCAGGCGGCGCCGGAGGGAAAUGCAGCACGCUUGGCGAAGGCGUUCGACGGAGGUCCACUGGUUUCACGUCCAAAACGACAACAACAAAAAAAGUACAAAGUCAGCUUUGCUCUCGCAGGGCGGUGAGGUGUGGUUCCAGCAGCGAGGAGGCCGACCCGAGGGCUUGACGGCACAUCGUGUUCUGGAAGCUUCUUGAAGCGUGGCGGAGCACGAGUGGGGAUGUUUGGUCGAGAAUUGUCAGGGUGUGGGAGCGUCCGUUUCUGCCACGCCACCUCCAGGGUGAAAACAGUCACGUAUGAUCUCCCGAAGCCGUUUUUGUCACGUCUUGGGCGCGGGGGCGUUUCAAGCGAGAGGGGGGAAAAGUUGGCGGCUCCGUCGUGGAGAGGGGGAGAGAGAGUCAAGCACGGACGACGGGCGGUCAGGGUCCAGCCCCGCAAUUAGAUAACAGAUUGGCGUCUGCGGUCAUGUGAUGUGUUUCACCCCGCGGGCCGGCCAGGAUUCGGUCAAAUCCUUCCCAAAGACACACUGACGACUGCGUGCGCUUAGAAGAGGCGGCGGCCGGCGGUGACGCAGCUCUUUCGGGGCUGGACUUCUCGUCACCUCGGUUGGAUCGCUAUCACUUCCUCCCUCUCCCCGCUCUCUUUCUCUGUCGUGGAGAGCAGGAGCAGUGGGCGGCGCCGAAUGUCGCCGCUCAGGAUGAGCGAGAGAGCGAGAGAAAGCACGGGAGAUAAAGGAGGAAAGCGAGGGAUGUUGUUUACACUGCUCUCGCGGCGACUCUCGUUUGGCUUCACUCCCGUCGGCCGGCGCCGCGCUUCAAGUCGCCGCAUGACAAAAACGCUGCUCUCAAUGGGUAGGAGUCGCUCUGCAUGGCGCAGCGGAAUUGGCCGGCAGCUCAAGUUCAGCCGCUUAUUGGUCCAAAACGACUUCUUUCAAAGAGGUUUACAAGUUGGAGUGAUGGCACCUUGUGGUUCCAGUUCAUUUUGGUGAGGUUCUGGAUAAUACUGUGGAGGGUGCAAUUUUUUUUUUUUUUUUUUCCUGAGUGAAAGCGUCAAACCCCGCAGAACCAUAACGGCACCGCCAAAAGUCGGCCAGCAUUCGAGAUAGUCAGUAUUGCUCUGAUAAAAUAACAUCUGUGCUGACGUGAUGCUUGCUCAGUCCCGUACGUUGCGUUGCUGAUGUUGUCCCACUCGAUGUAAACUCCGCCUCUGGCCUUGUUGACCCGGCAAAUCCAUCAAGUCCAUGCAGGUGCGUGCUUUGGAGGACCACGUGUUGUUCGGAAGAAAUGAUUUGAAAUAAUCCCGGAUGAAACAAAUGAGCAGAAAUACAGUACUGUCCAAAAAAAGUGUUGGGUCACCAUAAGUCAUCAUAAUCAUGGACGGCACGGUGGAUCAGCUGGUUAAGCGUUGGCCUCACAGUUCUGAGGACCCGGGUUCGGUGGAGUUUGCAUGUUCUCCCCGUCCCUGCAUGGGUUUCCUCAGGGCACUCCGGUUUCCUCCUGCGUCCCAAAAACAUGCACCAUUAAUUGGACACUAAAUUGCCCCGAGGUGUGAUUGUGAGUGCGGCUGUGUGCCCUGCGAUUGGCUGGCGACCAGUUCAGGGUGUACCCCGCCUCCUGCCCGUGGACAGCUGGGAUAGGCUCCAGCACGCCUCGCGACCCCUGUGAGGAUAAGCGGCAAAGAAAAUGGUGGAUGGAUCAUAAUCGUGUACAGUCUAAGUACAAGGCCACUAAUUAGACUUUAGCAAACUUUAAAACCCUACCAUGCAAAAC